rnacentral:rRNA from 1 species
AGCAGUAGCCACGGUAAUACGAAGGGUGCAAGCGUUAAUCGGAAUUACUGGGCGUAAAGCGUGCGUAGGCGGUUUGUUAAGUCUGUUGUGAAAUCCCCGGGCUCAACCUGGGAAUGGCAAUGGAUACUGGCAAGCUAGAGUGUGUCAGAGGAUGGUGGAAUUCCCGGUGUAGCGGUGAAAUGCGUAGAGAUCGGGAGGAACAUCAGUGGCGAAGGCGGCCAUCUGGGACAACACUGACGCUGAGGCACGAAAGCGUGGGGAGCAAACAGGAUUAGAUACCCGCGUAGUCCCUGUCUCUUAUAC